UGGGUUGUAGCUCAGUGGUAGAGGGCUUGCCAAGAUGUAUGAGGUCCUGGGUUCAACCCCUAGCACUAA
rnacentral:tRNA from 1 species